rnacentral:lncRNA from 1 species
AUUGGUUGUGCAUGAUGUUUUAUUAACAGUGCAUUAAUCUCUAAUUUGUGUGUUACAUAUUAUAUUUGGCUGUUAAAAAUAUUUGUGUUUUUAGAAUGUAAAUAACUUGGUCAAUGAUCUGUUGUAGACAUAUCUAAAGUAACUGAAAUGAUUGUAAUUUGUUAUGGCUGUAUAUUCAUCCAAACACACUCAUGGAACAAGAUUUGGGCAAAAUGAUGUCAUUUUUACAGAUUUCUUUUCCCAUGACCAGAACUCUGUAUAGAUAAGGAAAAUAUUUUAAAAUCUACAUUAAUUUUCUUUUAGACCACCAAAUACUAUGCAAGAUAUAAGAAGUGGCCCAUUUUGAUUCACAGUCCCAGAUGCUUAAGAAUAUAAUAAUAACACCUUUUUAGCUAGAGAAAGAAGCUAAAAUAUUAUUUGGCCAUAUUUGAGGCCAAGUAAUGUAAUUUCAAAAAAGUGAAGUCGAAUUUAAAUAAUGAUUGCAUGUUAGUUAUGAUGUAAUACAUUAUACGUUACUGAUUUAUUAUAAUUUUCUGAUUUUAAUCUAGAAUUCUUUCAGAAUGAGCUGUCCUCUCCAACUCACAAUGCAUUUAAAACAAUCUUUGUUGCAGGUUACUUAGUUAUAGAAAAUCUAUCAAGUAAGUUCACAAAAUACUUUUUUCUUCUUUUGAAUAUCAACUCCCAAUCUUAAAUGUGUGGUUCCCUCUUUGUAUGUUUGUUGGAAAAACCUCUAAGCUGGAUAUAAAUCAUAAAAGCAUGACUAAUUGCAUGGUAACUGGAGAAAUGCUCUCUCUCUCUGGGGUGAAGUCUGCAUGUCUGUAUUUUAGCUUGGGAAGUAAUACGGGGAUAUUUAAACUCCUUGGGAUUUAAAAACCAUGUCAUUAUGAGAAUGAGGUCACUGCAAUAUUUUAUACCUUCUAAAACCUUGUAAUGUAUAAAAUGUUUUCUGUAUGACAAAGAGGUAUUAUGUGCUUUAGAAUUCAAUGAUAACUUUAUGCCCUUACAUUUACUGGAAAAACCUUAUUCAUGAAAAUGUUAAAUCCUUCACUUAAAGUCACUGAAAAAAAUUGGAAGAGUUUUGUACUGUGAAUACAAAGAAAAUGAACUCAAAGAGAGCAAGUUAACUUCAUGACAGAGUGACUUUAGAGGUCUGUUUUGCAUUUGGUUUUUGAAAUGUUCCUGUUCUUUUCAUGUUAAGGGUAUAGCCAGUGACCAGGCUUAAAUGAAAGAAUACAUUCUAACAAGACUCCAUUUUAUACUUUUCUUUACAUGGAGACCAAUAAGCAAGAAAUCCUUUCUGCAACAUGUUGAAGAGCUUUGCACAAACAACAACCUAAAGUUUCAAGAAGAAUUUUCGGUAUGUUACCAGCAGUUGUCACAACAUUGCAAGACCUCCCGUCGUUUCGUGUGUCACAUUUCAUGUCCAUUUUAAGCAUGCAAGGCCAUGAAGGACUCUGGCCUUGAUAAUCAAUACCCAAUUACCAGGUUGAUUGUUUGGAUAGUAAUGUUACACUGGGUGGCCUCUGGUGCAACCUGAUCAGAAUUAUUCACCUACUGUGUCAGGAAAAGGUGCUCAUCUUCAGACCUCCCCUUCAAUGGCAGCCUGGCCCCUUUUCUUCUCUGUUCUUUCAUCUAGGUGUAGAUGCAAAUCCAGAGUAAUGUGUUGAGUAGUUUUUGUUUGCAUAUGAGCUUUAGGUCAUACGAUAAACUUAGUUUUACAUUUAAAUAAUUGGUUUAGAUAUAGACACUAAAUUAUUCCAUUUUUAUUUGCAAGCUUAGUGUACAUUAGCAGUUCGGAAGAAUAUGAGAACAGAACUGGAUGCUUCCAGAAACUACAAAAAUAGUAUUGUUUCUAGAACUAUCCCAUAAUUUUAAAAAAUAAAAUAAGUAAUGGCCUGUUUUACAAGGCCUAUUUUUAAGUAACUGUGGAAUAAAUGAUAUAUCAUUAUGGAGACAUAUAAAACUAAGAACUUAUUACUUUAAAACUUUUUAAAAAGUUGGGAAUCAUUAUAUUGUUUUUAACAUUUCAUAUCUAUAAAAUUGAGAUUAUUUAAGGAUGCAGAUUGAUAUCAAAUCUGUAAGCUGUUUUGAGACUUGUGUCUAUCCUAUCUUAGAUAAUUAUUUUAUAUUAUAAAAAUAAAAUAGAUUUCUGUCACCAAAAUCUCUAUUUCUUUUUGUUUUUUCAUGAGUGCUUUAGUGUGUGAACUUAUGAACAAAGAUUCAAAUAAUUGGCUUAAAUAAUUUAGGAUUAAAAUAUUUCAGUCUCUCAGGGAAUAAUAACAAAAGUGUGAGAAGAUUAAUGGUAUUUCCUGCAGCUUUUUGUUAUGCUUCUUAAGUAAUAUUGGUUUGGACUUAACAAAAUCAAUGGAACCAUCAAAUUUUUCUUAGCAUUUAUACAAUGAGAACUUUCACUUUCUCAGGAACAAAAGUACAAUUUUGCUAGAAUAGAGCAAACAUAAUUACAUUAUGUAUGACUAAGUAGAUCAAAAGUUUUAUUAGCAAUAACAUAUUCACAUAUUGUGAAAGUUUCCAGUUUAACUUUUUUUUUUGGAGACCAUGGUUUCAAGAAAAAAAAAGUUUAAAUUUAAACUGUUUUUAUCCUAAUUAUUUUAUUAAAACAAAAUUAUUAUACAGUAAUAAACAAAUACAUAUUUGAUACAGAUUUUAACUCAGGUCAUAUUCACUUAUACCUUAAAUAUUUAGAAGCUUCUAUUAUUAUGACAGAUAUUUUAUUUGACAUGUUGAUAUAUAUCAACCCAGCACUUACUAUUCAAGUGACCUUGGACAAAUUAAACUGGGUGCCUCAACUCUGUGCCUUUGUAAAAUAUCUACCUCUCUUAAUUUUGGCCACUAAAAUGCUUGAAUAUGUGCAAUAUUAUGAACAGUGGCUGGUACAAGUUUUAGCUAUUAUGAUAAUUCCUACCACAAGGAAGCUAAUAUUAUGGCAAGAACUGUAAACAUAUAUUUAAAAAAUUGCAAACACAUUGUGUCAUGAUGAAGGUCUGCAUAAAGAAAUGAAGAUCAACUGGGCACAGUAGCCUGUACCUAUAAUUCCAGCAGCUUGGGAGUCUAAGGCAGGAGGAUUGGGAGUUCAGAGCCAGCCUCAGCAACUUAGCGAGGCCCUAAGCAAUUCAGUGACACCCUGUCUCUAAAUUAAAUGCAAAAAGGGCUUGGGAUGUGGCUCAGUGGUUAAGUGUCCUGAGUUCAACCCCCGGUACAAAAAAAACAAGAAAAGAAAUGAAGAUCACCUCUGAAUAUUAGAGACUUCAUUAAAAAGGGGGGCUUUAAGAUGAACUGUAGAAUGAGCAGAAGAACAAUGGGAAGGCAGAGAGGAAACUACUCCAGAGAGAGGGAGUGGGGGGAAAGAAAGCUCAGCAGAGCAGUGGACUCAUUAUGAUCUCAGGAAACAGAUGACACAAGCAGUGGGGGAAAGAGCUGCAGGGGAAGAUCACUGAGGCCUGGUGUGCCCUGAUAGGAACAGGACCACUACCAAACAGCCUGGUAAUUGGGUAUUGGUGAUUAAGGUCAGAGUCACUUUAUAAGUGGAAACUUCUAAUGUGAAGUAAUUGCAAAAUGUAAAUACCACUUUUCAGUCAAUUUCUAACACACCUUUCUUUCCUCCUCUUUAUAUACUCCCAAAGCCUUUAAACAAGGAAGUUCUUCCAGUUCUCCUCAUUUCAUUAAAAAAAAUUUAGCAGGCUAGGGGUACAGCUAGUGGUACAGUGCUUUCCUAGAAUGCUUGAGGCCCUGGGUUCAAUGCCUGAAAGAAAAAAAAAAAAUGAAACCUGUGGUGCCAGCACAUCAGAAUCCAGCUGCUUCCACUCUCUUUUCUGACACAGGACCACAUGCAAACAACUGUCCAGUUCAACUUUUUAAGGAAAAAUGAGAGAGGAGAAUCAUUGAUUUAAAAGAAAUACUUUAUAAUAAUGUUGAAAAAAAUGUAAAAACUCACAUUUUAACAUUUAUUAAGGAAUUUGGCAAGCUGAGGGUUCUAAAAUGGAAAAUCACAAAUUUCAUAAAUGUAAAUCAUCUGCUCAAGAAAACAAUGCAUAUGUUUUGCAGCAGCUUUCUGCAAGAUGCUUGUAUUACAAAGAACAAGGUAGAUAAUAUUGUGAUUUUUUAACCCCAAUGUCAAUAAUAGAUUUUCUUGACCCUUUGUCUGUGUCUGAUAAUUCUUAAUAGCACCUUUGCAUUCCACUAUCAAUUUAACAGUGCCUACUGUGCACAGGAAUUGACCUCUGGCAUCUUCUCAAACUGACCAAUGUUGUACCAAUUAAUAGGCAUGAAAUCACACUGCCCAAGGAGGAAAAACAAAAAAUAAAUCAUGAACUCCCUUUGUCUUACUAAGUUGACAUUAAAAUAUUAAGGAAAAGCCAGUGUGUACCUGAUAAAACCAUGAGUGACAUAGGAAGGAGUCACUAGCCUGGUUGCCACAUCUUAGGGCCUCCCAAAGUGCAAAGAAAUUAUCUCAAUACAGGGCAAUAUUAACUGAUCAACAUCAUUCAGUUAAUUAACAUUAACUUAUAAAGCUUAGGUAAACUUAUUACUAUUCAUUUGACCUUGUUUCCACACUUAACAUAGGUGUUUUCAAUUAAAAUAUUUUAAAAAGGUUUAAAGAAUCAUAUUUUACUGUGGCAUUUCUCAUGCACUUCUGAGAAAUGUAAUUUUUGCAAUGACUUUAUUUCACAGGAAUUACCAAAGUUUCUUCAGGAUCUCUCUUCAACUGAUGCAGAUCUCCCUUGGAAUAGAGCAAAAAAUCGCUUUCCAAAUAUAAAACCAUGUAUGUACCCUUAUUGUUGCUGGUAUAUCUAUGAAGUGUUUUAAAAUGUUCACCACCUUAAUUUUUUGUAUUUCUUAAAUGUUUUAUUCAUAUUAAGUGAAUUAUAGCAAUGUAUCUCAUUAACAGUGACUUUCAAAUUAUACCUUUUGCUUUGUUCACAUUUACUGGAGUUAAUAUAUAUGGUUUUCAGCUUGUUCACACAAUGUUCACUUUUGCAGGUGCAAGAAACUGUAGAUCUAAUGGUUUCUUAGCUUUGUAAUUUAACCCAAGUAAGGAACAUGUUUUACAUCUUCCUACAGACCCAGUCUCAAAUGAAAAGAGAAAGUUCACACUUUGUGCAUUAGUUUCCCUCAAGAGCAUAGCCCUAUGGGACAUAAAAAAUGCCUCACAAAAUACUGAUCAAACAUCACAGUAAAUGUAUGUUUACCAAAACUGCUUUUACAAAGGAGGCUUUACCAAAAUACAUCUUAGUUCUUAUAUCAAUAAGAAAAAAACAAUAUUAUUGUUUUAAGAACUGGCAGUGGUAUACAGGGAAAAAUGUGAAAUUCUUCUGUUACUAAUAGUUAUGUUUUAUAUUUUAUUUUUUAAGAUAUGGUCCUACUGUCCCAAUUCUGAUCUAAUAUAUUUUAUAUUAAAAAAUUAAGUGAUAUUCUUGAUGCUCUGAAAAAUUAUUUCAAAACAUAGUUUUAAAAUAUUAUUUAUUUUAAAGUUUAUAUGUGUACAUAUGUAUAUACAUAUAUAUUAUAUAUUUUAUUUUUAUGAAUUUUCAAAGUGUAUUGGGAAAAUUUCUAUUCUAAAAAAUUGAACUUUUCUAUCUAGAAAUUCAUGGACUUAGAGAAGGUUAUAAUCACAGAACAUAAAGAUGUGGAUAUGAAGAAACAGACCAAAUUCUGAUAUUCUAAAACUGGAGGAUAACUUUUACAUGAAGGAAACAGAUCUAGGGAAACAUGAUACAGGAGGUAGUAAUCUAAUGCAACCUGUUAAUUCCUAAGAACCAGACAAAGAUGAAAAUGCAAAUAGCUUUCACCACCUAAAAUCCUUUCUAUCAAAAAACUAAUCAUAAAUAAAUAACUUAAUGAGAAAGAUGACAAAUAAUACUUUGUUAUAGGAAAUAAAUUAGUAAUACAUUUCUAAACUUCAAAAUCAUGACCUUUCUCAACAUCUUUUGUUCUCCCUUUCAGAGAGUUAACCUGGGUUGGAUACAUCAUAUGUUUAAAGGGGAAUCCCAUGUUUUAAUAUUUAUCUGCACUAAAUUUCUUCCAGACUAUUUGUUUCAUGCUUGUUCAGUGUUGUUCUAUGAAAAUAAAUAUUCUAAUCUGAUUGAAAGACAGUUACUGUGGUUUUACAGAGCUGGGGUCCUGCCCGGUUGAGCUAGGGCAACCACUACAAAUCCUUGGGUGCUGGUACUUGUGACUUUUCACAAAGAAUUCGAGUGAAACAUAGCAAAAGUUUAAUAGAGAAUGAAAGCAGAAGGUUAUUUACAGCAGAAAGACUGCAUAGACCCCCUCAAAGAGAGGAUUGUGAGGUACUCACACGGCUGGAGUUUUUAUUUUAUUUUAUUUUAUUUUUUUGUAGUUGUAGAUGGACAGAAUACCUUUAUUUUAUGUGGUGCUGAGGAUCAAACCCAGGGCCUCACACAUGCUAGGCAAGUGCUCUGCCACUGAGCUACAGCCCCAGCCCAAGGCUGGAGUUUUUAAGGAAACUAUGUACUUUGUUUUUGCCUUGAUUUCCCUGUCUCCCCUAAAUUGGUUUAUUACUCCUUGAAUAGUACCCAGCAACUUCCUUGGUGAGGGCCUGAAUAUUCUGGUUGACAGGGUAGUUGUGACAGAGUUGUUUGCAAGAGAUAAUGAUGGCACCUAUCUGAAAACCAUAAUUCCCCUUGAAGGGUUAUAAUUAGCUGAAGCAGGGGGUCUUGGUGUACCACACCCCACUUUUCUGAUAAUUUUAGUUAGGGCCCAGGAUUUUAGGUAAUAAUUCCUCAAGGGGUUAUAGUUCUGUGCAGCCUGGGGAAGGUUAGGCAUUCUAGACCUCAUUUCCCAGUGCCUGCCUGUUUAGAUAAGGUUCCCCACUGUUUCACUUUUAUGACUCCUAGAUUCUUCUUGGUGCAUAGGCCUAAUGUCAGUCCUUCAUUGUCCUUCCCCUCUACCCACCUAACUAACCUACCUCAUAGUGGAAUAAUUAGUAUUUAUUUCUAUUUGUAUUUGUUGUAUAUGAAGGACUUAAUUUAUAUCAACACAUGUAAUAAGUAAUUCAAAUAUCUUACCUAUUUCCAAGAACUGUCUAAUUUAAAACAUGUAAAACUCAAGAUCUUAUAAAGAUAUUUGUAAAAUGUGAGUUUUCAAUCUUCUAUUACUAAGAUAUCAGUGUGUUAUUAUGUAGAAUCCCAUUUUAACCAUAAGAAAAGUCAGUUCCAGCUUCUUACUUAAAAGAUGGUAAGGGAAUAAAAGUGGUUGGUGGAACUAAACAACAACCUUGAAACCAUAAAAUGGACUAAGGAAUAUGAACACCCCAACUCUCCACAUCUGAGGCUAAGACAAAAAAUAAUCAGACUCCCUGAGGUGCAAUCCUCUCUAUGUUCUAAACACCUUAGUGGUUAUGAGCAUAUUGUUCAGUGGUCUCUACAUGAAAAAGUUACUGUAAGGAUUAAUUGAAAUGAUAUGUAAAUCACUUUGCUCAGUACUGAAACCCAGGAAGCACUCAACAUUAGUUCAUAAGAAGGUUAACAAUAGAUCAUUAAAAAUCUGCAAACUUUCUGGGAGAAAGAUUGUCACAGGCCCUUAGCUUCUGCAGUCCCGAGAUAACCAAGCUACAAAGUCAUAGCCAUCUCUAUAGGUGAGAGACUCCAGUUUCUCUCUUUUCUCCCUCUCUCCCUCCCUCUCUCAUUCUCUCUCUCUCUCUCUCUCUCUCUCUCUCUCUCUCUCUCUCACACACACACACACACACACACACAAACACACACACACACACACAGGCAGCAUGGUGCUUACAGAGACCCCCCCCCCAUAAAGCUGAAGACACAUCCUUCCUUGCAGGGAAGGAACAUAUUUCAAUAGAAUGAAUUUUAGCUUGAGGCAGCUAAGUGAAAUUCUUUGUUUCCUCUGAGUAACUUAGGAAGUAGAAUUUCAAAUAUCACAGUGCAUUUUAGAAGAUAUUAGCUUACAGGGCUUUAAGAUACCCAAAUUAGCAUCACACACUUGGAGAAGAGAUUUCCAACUCUGUUUGACAGGACACUAUGACCUUAAUAUUCCAACACUGAGAGGAAAAGUUUAGCUUGUUGUUGACUCAGCUAGUUAUAAACAGGCAUAUCGAGUGAAUAGAAACACGAUGGCGUCCCUUCCUGAAUUACAGGACUAGCUGCAGUGUCAUUCAAAUAUUUAGAUCAUGCAGAAUUCAAUGUCAUGGAAACAUGAAUCCUUUGCAGAAAUUUGUCUAAAUUCCCUAUCAGUCAACUUAAUCACAUUGGAUAUGUAACAAUAAUUUCUGAUAAUAUGGCUAAAUUAUCUUAACAUAUAGUGUAUAUACUCAAGUUCUGAGAACAUGUAUUGAGCACUCCCUAUUAACUUUCACAUAAAUUUUCCUCAAGGGGAUUAUAUGAAGUAAAUAGAGUUGUGUUAGACUUGAGAUAACUAAGGAUCAGAGAAGCUAAGUAGUUCACUCAAUGAUGUAUGUAUGAUAGGUAGAUCAUCUAGAAUUCAGACCCAAUCUCCUUUACCCAUUUUUCUUCCAUGAAUAAUAGAUAUUUUAUGUCAUGUCCACAUUUAGUUAAAAUUAUCAUUAUGAUAAUUUCAAUUAUAUCACUUGAUAAAAAUUAUCAGGAAAAAAUAAUUUCUGACACAUGAAAAAAUUAAUGGGUAUCUAAUUUUAUAAGAUCUUAAAAUAUUCUGAAGAAUGAUAAUUAGAAAUUUUGUAUUAGAGACAAAUAAAUUAAUGGGAAGGAGUAAAUGGUCUAAAAUACAUAGAGAAAUCUAAUGUACAAUGAAAAUAGACAAAAUACAUAGAGAAAUCUAAUGUACAAUGGAAAUGGUGUUUUGAAUCAGGUAAAGGAUAGAAUGUUAAAAAAUUUAGACUGUAUAUUGUGCCAAAUAACAAAAAGCAAUAAAAGACAUACAUAUGCAUGUGUGUGUAUCUCUAUCACAUUCCUUUAAAAAAAAUCCCAAUAGAUGAAAGAUUGAAAUAUUUAAAAGUAAACCAGAAAAAAAUUAUUAAGAUAUCAGGAGAAACUGCAGAAAUUUUGUAUAAAUAAGAAUAUUUGUUAUUUCAAACAACUUUAUGAACAAUACAUAAUCCAUAAGCUAUAAUUUAAAAGGGAGAAAGUUGAUUAUAUAAUAGUAUAAAUUUUAUCUAUGGCAAGAUAGAGCCAAACACAAAUUAUAAAGAAGAAAAAUUUUUAUGUUUUUAUUAGUGCUUGGUAGUCAUACAUAACAACAGGGUUUGUUUUGACAUAACAUACAUGAAUGGAAUAGAAUUUGCUCUAUUUCAAUCCCCAGAAUUUCUGCUUUCCCUCUCCUCCUCCCUCAUCUGUUCCCUUUCCUCUACUCUACUGGUCUUCCUCUAAGAAGAAAAAUUUAAUACUUAUAACAAAAGUAUUUUAUGCGUAUAGCUAGCAUUAAAUAUUUUUUAAGUUAAAAGAUGAGAAUAUAUUAAAAGACAGGGAAUAGAAAAGGCAUUUGAAAUAACCAAUAAGCAUAAGCAAAAAAGCUCAAUUUUGAUCAUAUUUAAGGAAAUUAAAUAAAUACCAUGAAAUAUCACUAUGUAUCUAUCAAAAGAAUAUAAAUGAAAAUGUUGAAUAUUUUGUAACAGAAUUUCCUAAACACUUGUUCAAAUAUGAAUUAAUAAAAGUCUAGAAGAACUUGGCAGUAUCUUUCAAAAUUUGAGAGGCACAUAUGUGAUUUGAGAAUUUUACUCCUGGUAAUGUUUUCUACAAACUAAUCCAACAUAUAUGAAAAAGUUCAAUUAUGUUUUUCAGCAUUUUAUAAUAACAAGUGAGAUCAAUUUAAUCCACCAUAAAGAAUUAAAUAAAUGCAUGAGAUUCAAACAAAGAAAUACAAUAUGUCUUUUUAAAUAAUGAGCUAGGUAUAUUUAUGCUUAUAUGGAAAGAUUAGGUAAAUGGGAAAAGUAAUCUGUGGGACAGGGUGCAUAUCACACCAUUUGUAGUUAAUUUCCUGAGAGUAUGUACAGAAAAUUUUGAAAAUAUAUACAAGAACAUAUCAAUAGUCAUUAUCUCUGCAUAGUAGAAAUAUGGACUAAGAGGAACAUACUGUAAUUUUAUACUUAUUUGUAAAUUUAUAAUAUUAUAUUAUGAACUCUUUAUUCUUUUCUUUCUUUCUUUUCUUUUUCUUUUGUCUUUCUUUCUUUUCUUUUCUUUUUUUUUGUGAUGGGAUCUUAUUAAAUUGCCCAGGCUGGCUGGAUGUGGUGGCACACACCUGUAACCCCACCAGCUCUGUAAACUGAAGAAGGAGUGUUGAAAGUUCAAAGCCAGCCUCGGCAAUUUAGCAAGACCCUAAGCGACUUAGGGAGACCCUGUCUCAAGAUAAAAAAGUAUAAAGGGCUGGGAAUGGAGUUCAGUGGUAGAGCACCCCUGGGUUCAAUCCUCCCUACCAAAAUAAAAAUUGCCCAGUCUGGCCCAGAACAUGUGAUCUCCCUACUUCAGACUACAGAGUAGAUGAGAUUACAGUCGUGUGUCCCUAGCUUCAUGAACUCUUACAUUACUUUCAUAGUAAAAAGGUAGUGGUAAUUUAGAAAGUCAAUUAGUAUUGAUUUUUUAUAUUUUCUUCUUAGAUAAUAACAACAGAGUGAAGCUGGUAGCUGAUGCUAGUAUUCCAG